ACAUAAAGCAUAAUGGGCUAUUAAGGAGCUUAAUAUGGACUUAACCUAAGCGGGUGAAGAGCGCCUAUUGCACUAAAGGAGCUAGAAGAAAUGCAUAGUGAGAUGAGAAUGUCAAACUAUACAAAGAAAGGACCAAGAGGUAACAUGGUAAGAAUUUACUUCGUAAAUCUUUUGUCCCUAAAAUGAAAGUUUUAUUAUUUAACUUAUGUUUUAAAUUUUUUCAAAAAAACUUAGAUCAAUAUGGAACGCCCAUUUGAAGUAAUAACGAUUUUUUCUCAUGGUGCGAUGGAAUUAUAUAAUAUAAAGACUCAAGAAUGAUUCAAAGUUAAUGGUCAUCAUUUAAAGCCAUACUAUGAAGGAAUGGCCUAUGGACAUGAAGUGGAGUGCAUUGAGACACCACUAAUUUGAAACAAUUUCAUCAAUGUCUAGCCAUAGACAAUAAAUUUACCACCUAUAUAUUAUAUCUUUUAUAUUUUAUCAUUUAAGUUUUAAUUUUAAGUAUUUUUUUUUAUUUUUUUUAGGAACUGGAAAAAGAUUCAAGCAUUCUAGCACCUCCAUGAUCAUCGAGUAUAAAAGAGAAACUUUAUAUGGUAACGCUUAAUUUACUAGUCAAUAUUGUGCUUCAAAUAUUUAUGAGAUUAUAUGUAUUACAUGAAGGUAAUUUUAUUUUAAUCAUUGAGCAUAUAAAUGUAGAAAAGUAUGUAGAACUAGGAUUUAUAUCCUUGCAGGAUUAGGACAAGUAAUUAAGAAUUAAAUAAGAAUUUUAUUUUCUAAUGACUAGACAUAACCAAAUCCUAGACAAAAUUGGAUUAAAUAAAACACUAUAUAUAGACCAUUCUUGCCCUUCAUUAAGAGCUACUCUAAACAAUCCCAUUUCUUCUCAAGAGCUUUUAAUAAUCAUGCAGGCAAGGAAGCGUCAAGAAUGAGGAAAACUCUCUACCACAUUUAUCACCAUUAAAUCACUUUACACCCAACUCCAAGCCACUCAGCUCAAGACUUGCCUCUAGAAAAUCUAAAAAAAAUAUAAGAAGAGCACCUACACCAUUUCAUUCACCAUCAAUCCCAUCUAGUUCAAAACUAACUUCAAGUAAAGAUGAAAGAGCUAAAAGGCCCACACCUACACCAUUCUCUCCUUCCAUAUUUUUCAAAAAUUGGCUACCAAGAAAAAGGCUUAAGAUGGAGUACGACCUUAGGCCCGAAGAAAUCACUAUCUUUUAUGCUUAUCAUAGAGUUUAUCCAAGACCAAUGGAGAGGCCACUCACUCUUGAAAAAUAAUAAAAAUUAAAAAUUCUGAAAAGAAAUAUCAAAAAAAAUUCUUUGUAAUACCGAAAAAAUAGUAAAUAAAUAAAUAAAUAAUAUUAUUUAGACAAAAAAAAACAUUCUCCUUCCCUUUUUCUUCCCUUUUCCUUUCCCCUACUUUACUUUUCUUCCUUCUUCCUCCCUUUUCUCCCCUGUCACCGACAGCCCUUCUCUUUCCUCCGCCUGCACCGAACAAGUUGUCGCCACCGCCGACGUUCUUCCUUCCCCUCCCCGCCAUCACACUGCUUCCUCUUCUCCUUUCCCCCGCUGCAGACGUCGACCAAAGGAAAAAAGUCUCUCCCGCUGCCGAACUAGCUCCUGUCCUCCACCAAUCGCUCGUUCGACUCCGGAAUCAAGCUCCUCACCGUUGAAAACCCCAAGCCAAGCUUUCCCCGUCGUUUUCCAUUGUUGACAGCCUCAGUGGAGCCUCACCGGAGCAACGCAUUUCCGGCCACGAUCCGGUGCCUUCCGGCAAGUUUCCGGCAAAGCUCUUAUAUUUUCGGACUCUCCGCAACUCAAGCUUCGCGUGGACGCUUCCAUAUUCGAAUUCCGACACUGUUGUAGAACAUGCCAUCUGAUGGGUUGCAUCAGGACCGUGUGCACACCGGUAUUAAUCAGAGACAGGUAGUAAAGGUUACUUUUGGAUUUUGCCCUCGUUGAGUAUAACUCUCUAGACUGUGGAAGUUUGACUACUAGAAGGAGGCUCCUGGUCGAGUGUUGCUCUCUCGGCGCUGGCUUAUUUGGGAAUCAAGUGUCCAGAUUGAUUUAAGGACCCUGGUUGAGCUUCGCUCUCUCGGCGCCAGACCUAUUGGAGUAAGAGAGCCAGAAGGCUACUAGUAUUGCGGGUUAGGGUUCUGCUGAGGCACUCGUACCAUAAGUAUUUCAAUUGUAUUUUCUUUCUGAAUUAUGGCAUUGACAUGUAUUUUAGUAUAAUAUGACAUGAUAUCUUGAUUUAAUAAUUGUUAUAUUGGAAAGACUAAAAUUGUUUUAGGAUUAUAUGAUUUUAAUUCACUCUCGAGGCUGACAGUUUUAAUUUUAA